rnacentral:lncRNA from 1 species
CCCGUCUCUUUGCUCAGCUCAGCAGCGGAAGCAGCAAGGCAUGGGCGCAACACUAAAAAGAAGCGGCCGCACCUCCCCAAAACCACCUCCGCCUCCACCUCCACCUCCAUCUCCUCCUCCUCCUCGACGCUUCUUCCCGUAUCCUGCCUUGAUCGAUCGCCUCCUCCGCGUUCUUGGAUGGACGAGCAGGGCCGCGGGUUCGGUCUGCAGGGGCACCAUGGCCUGGUGCUCCUGCAUCAGCAGCAGCAGCAGCGGAGGAGGAGGGAGAUGGAGCGGGAGGAGGAGGAGGAGGAGGAGGUGGAAGAGGAGGUGCGGCGCCAGAUGUU